CCUACGGGAGGCAGCAGUGGGGAAUAUUGGGCAAUGGGCGCAAGCCUGACCCAGCAACGCCGCGUGAAGGAAGAAGGCCCUCGGGUUGUAAACCUUUUUUAUUCGGGACGAAACAAAUGACGGUACCGAAUGAAUAAGCCAAGGCUAUAUACGUGCCAGCAGCCGCGGUAAUACGUAGGUGGCAAGCGUUAUCCGGAUUUACUGGGUGUAAAGGGCGCGUAGGCGGGAGAGCAAGUCAGACGUGAAAUUCCGCGGCUCAACCCUGAAAUUGCAUUUGAAACUGUACUUCUUGAGUAACGGGGAGGCAGGCGGAAUUCCGUGUGUAGCGGUGAAAUGCGUAGAUAUACGGAGGAACACCGGUGGCGAAGGCAGCCUGCUAAACAUUGACUGACGCUGAUGCGCGAAAGCGUGGGGAGCAAACAGGAUUAGAUACCCGAGUAGUC
rnacentral:rRNA from 1 species